rnacentral:rRNA from 1 species
UUCCGGUUGAUCCUGCCGGAGGCCACCGCUAUUGGAAUCCGAUUAAGACAUGUGAGUCGAGAGUCUUCGGGACUCGGCAGACGGCUCAGUAACACGCGGAUAAUCUGCCCUUGGGUGGGGAAUAAUCUCGGGAAACUGAGCAUAAUACCCCAUAGGCCUGAGAUGCUGGAACGCCCUCAGGCUAAAAGCUCCGGCGCCCAAGGAUGAGUCUGCGGCCUAUCAGCUUGUAGUUGGUGUAAAUGACCAACUAGGCGACGACGGGUACGGGCAUUGGGAGAUGUAGCCCGGAGAUGGACUCUGAGACACGAGUCCAGGCCCUACGGGGCGCAGCAGUCGCGAAAACUUCACAAUGUGGGAAACCGCGAUGAGGGGAUUCCAAGUGCUUGCGUUUUGCGUAAGCUGUUCUCCUGCCUAAAAAGCAGGGGGAGUAAGGGCUGGGUAAGACGGGUGCCAGCCGCCGCGGUAAUACCCGCAGCCCAAGUGGUGGUCGAUAUUAUUGAGCUUAAAGCGUCCGUAGCCUGUCUGGUAAAUUCUUGGGUAAAUCGUGCAGCUUAACUGUCCGAAUUCCGGGGAGACUGCCAGACUUGGGACCGGGAGAGGUUGGAGGUACUCCUGGGGUAGGGGUAAAAUCCCGUAAUCCUGGGAGGACCAUCAGUGGCGAAGGCGUCCAACUGGAACGGAUCCGACGGUCAGGGACGAAGCCCUGGGUCGCGAACUGGAUUAGAUACCCAGGUAGUCCAGGGUGUAAACGCUGCAGACUUGGUGUCGGAGGUCCUACGAGGGCGUCCGGUGUCGGAGGGAAAGCCGUUUAAGCCCGCCGCCUGGGAGUUACGCCCGGCAGGCUUGAAACUUAA